AUUGAACGCUGGCGGCAGGCCUAACACAUGCAAGUCGAGCGGGAACUUCGGUUCUAGCGGCGGACGGGUGAGUAAUGCGUAGGAAGCUACCCGAUAGAGGGGGAUACCAGUUGGAAACGACUGUUAAUACCGCAUAAUGUCUACGGACCAAAGUGUGGGACCUUCGGGCCACAUGCUAUCGGAUGCGCCUACGUGGGGUUAGCUAGUUGGUGAGGUAAUGGCUCACCAAGGCGACGAUCCCUAGCUGGUGUGAGAGGAUGCUCAGCCACACUGGAACGGGGACACGGGCCAGACUCCUACGGGAGGCAGCAGUGGGGAAUAUUGGAAAAUGGGCGAAAGCCUGAUCCAGCCAUGCCGCGUGUGUGAAGAAGGCCUUCGGGUUGUAAAGCACUUUCAGCGAGGAGGAAGGGGUUGUAGUUAAUAGCUGCAACCUUUGACGUUACUCGCAGAAGAAGCACCGGCUAACUCUGUGCCAGCCGCCGCCGUAACAC
rnacentral:rRNA from 1 species